rnacentral:rRNA from 1 species
AGCGAACGCUGGCGGCAGGCUUAACACAUGCAAGUCGAGCGGGCACUUUCGGGUGUCAGCGGCGGACGGGUGAGUAACGCGUGGGAACGUGCCCUCUGGUUCGGAAUAACUCAGGGAAACUUGAGCUAAUACCGGAUACGCCCUUUUGGGGAAAGGCUUGCUGCCGGAGGAUCGGCCCGCGUCUGAUUAGCUAGUUGGUGAGGUAACGGCUCACCAAGGCGACGAUCAGUAGCUGGUCUGAGAGGAUGAUCAGCCACACUGGGACUGAGACACGGCCCAGACUCCUACGGGAGGCAGCAGUGUGGAAUAUUGGACAAUGGGCGCAAGCCUGAUCCAGCCAUGCCGCGUGAGUGAUGAAGGCCUUAGGGUUGUAAAGCUCUUUUAUCCGGGACGAUAAUGACGGUACUGGAGGAAUAAGCCCCGGCUAACUUCGUG